rnacentral:rRNA from 1 species
CCUACGGGAGGCAGCAGUGAGGAAUCUUGGUCAAUGGGCGCUAGCCUGAACCAGCCAAGCAGCGUGAAGGAUGACUGCCCUAUGGGUUGUAAACUUCUUUUAUAUGGGAAUAAAGUGCAGUAUGUAUACUGCUUUGCAUGUACCUUAUGAAUAAGGAUCGGCUAACUCCGUGCCAGCAGCCGCGGUAAUACGGAGGAUUCGAGCGUUAUCCGGAUUUAUUGGGUUUAAAGGGAGGGUAGGCGGGUUGUUAAGUCAGUUGUGAAAGUUUGCGGCUCAACCGUAAAAUUGCAGUUGAUACUGGCAUCCUUGAGUACAGGAGAGGUAGGCGGAAUUCGUGGUGUAGCGGUGAAAUGCUUAGAUAUCACGAAGAACUCCGAUUGCGAAGGCAGCCUGCUGGACUGUAACUGACGCUGAUGCUCGAAAGUGUGGGUAGCAAACAGGAUUAGACACCCCAGUAGUC